GAAAAUUAUAAUUACUGUCACUCCAGCUCCAAAAAGCAUGUUUGAUUGUUUUCAACUCUUUUUUUACAGGAAUAAUUAAAUAGUAGGUAGUGGAAAAAAAUCGUAAUUUAAAAUGUUAAGCUAUCUCUUAUAGUAUUUCUUUAGUGUGUUAGCUUACAGAUGGGGUGAUCAUUUCUUAUUUUUCUUACUUGUUCUGGCAUUUAUUAUCUUCGUCAUACCACAAUUUU
rnacentral:misc_RNA from 1 species